UAUUUACAGAUUGGUUAGCUUAUUGAUGGAAGUACAUUAUUCCAAGAUGGAGACGUUCUUUGUUCUGUUCUGUCGCGUCUUCCCUCACCAUGUAAACACAUUCUAUUCUCUAAACAUUUUCAUUGGUUCUAACAGGAUAAAGAAUUUUCGUGCGCUUGCGCAGUUCAGAUACGGCAGAUAAACGUCACUUUUUAAAUAGGCGGACAAAGUUUCAUUGUUAUGUCUCAUUUACUUUUUACUGUAUUAUAAGACGUUCGUUGUAAAUUUUUGAGGUGGUCCAAGAAAAGAUGCAAAGCCUUGGAAAAGUAAUAACAGUCCAAAAGCAUUUGUAAGACGAUUUAAGCCUAAUAAAUCUACUAGAAUAACAGAAGUAAGACCCACGUAUGCUCCAGCAGUAAAACCAUAAAUGAUACAAUAAAAUGCAAAAGCAGUAAAAUUGGUACAAAAGAUCGUGAGACAGAUAUUGUACACAAAAAGUCGAUUGAUCCAUGGCUUGUCAGAUAUAUAUCCCAGAAUAAUACGACCUAAAGUAUUGGCUACUCCAAUAAUUGCAAUAGAUAUACGUAAGGCACAUUAAAUCCAAUACUGGUACAAAAAUUAGAAAGAGUAAAAAUAAGAAACAAAGGAUUUUUUAAGAGAGAAGUGUCCAUAAUUUCUUGAAGUACAUCUCUUUUUUCUUCAGAGGACAGCGCUAUAUUAUCUUCAGUCUUUUUAAUUUCAGCUUUGUUUGAUAUAUUUUUAGAAUAUGUAUCUAGAGGAAUAAUGUCCUCUUUAUUAUCAACAAUCAAAGACUUA